AGUCGAGGAUCUUCGGCAAUGGGCGAAAGCCUGACCGAGCGACGCCGCGUGUGCGAUGAAGGCCUUCGGGUUGUAAAGCACUGUCGGGGGGGAGAAAAGGGAAACCGUGAUCGACCCCCGGAGGAAGCACGGGCUAAGUUCGUGCCAGCAGCCGCGGUAAGACGAACCGUGCGAACGUUGUUCGGAAUCAUUGGGCUUAAAGGGCGCGUAGGCGGGCCGUCAAGUCAGGGGUGAAAGCCCCCAGCUCAACUGGGGAAGUGCCUCUGAUACUGACGGCCUCGAGGGAGGUAGGGGCGUGCGGAACUUCCGGUGGAGCGGUGAAAUGCGUAGAUAUCGGAAGGAACACCGGUGGCGAAAGCGGCGCGCUGGACCUCUUCUGACGCUGAGGCGCGAAAGCCAGGGGAGCAAA
rnacentral:rRNA from 1 species